GAAGCGGAAAGGAAAAGAAGAGGCGCGAUGGGCAAAAGGAAGUGCGGACGCAGGCGGCGCCUGCUGCCUCUUCGCGGGAAGGGGCUGCUCCAAGGGGCAGACAAAUGAAGAAGAAGAAAACUGAGUGCCUGGAUGAGCAAGAAAUUCCUUUUCGGUUGCGGGAAAUAAUGAGGAGCCGUGAUGAAUUAAAGAACCCCAAGAGCAAGAAGAAAAAGAAAAGGAGAAGCAACCAGCGCAUAUACUGGAGGGCGACAUACCUGUGCCAAAAUUCAAGCAGCGAAAAGGAGAGGGAGAAUCUACCUUCAUCGGGCGCAUUGAGCGGGAAACUCAGCGUGUGAUGUUCCUUACCAAAUACCAGCUGCAGCGUGAACC